UACGGAGGGGACUAGCGUUGUUCGGAAUUACUGGGCGUAAAGGGCGCGUAGGCGGUCUACUAAGUUGGAUGUGAAAACUCUGGGCUUAACCCAGAGCCUGCAUUCAAAACUGAUAGGCUGGAGUUCUGGGAGGGGAUAGCGGAAUUCCUGGUGUAGCGGUGAAAUGCGUAGAUAUCAGGAGGAACACCGGUGGCGAAAGGCGGCAUCCUGGAC
rnacentral:rRNA from 1 species